rnacentral:rRNA from 1 species
GAUGAAUGCUGGCGGCGUGUCUAAGGCAUGCAAGUCGAACGGUCUUAAUUGAUUCGCAAGAAUCAAUUAAGAUAGUGGCAAACGGGUGCGUAACACAUUGGUAACCUACCUUGAGGACAGGCAUAACUCCGCGAAAGCGGAGCUAAUUCCUGAUAAAGGCGAGGGGACAUAAAGUCAUUCUCGCCCAAAGGUCCAAAAGACCGCCUCGAGAGGGGCCUAUGGCCUAUCAGCUAGUUGGUAGGGUAAUGGCCUACCAAGGCGAUGACGGGUAGCUGGUCUGAGAGGACGGSCAGCCUCAGUGGGACUGAGACACUGCCCACACACCUACGGGUGGCUGCAGUCAASAAUCUUCCCCAAUGGACGAAAGUCUGAGGGAGCGACGCCGCGUGCUGGAAGAAGCCCUUCGGGGUGUAAACAGCUUUUCUGGGAGAUGAAUUCUGACAGUAUCCCAGGAAUAAGAGGUUCCUAACUCUGUGCCAGCAGGAGCGGUAAUACAGAGACCUCAAGCAUUAUCCGGAUUUACUGGGCGUAAAGCGUCCGCAGGCGGUUUUGAAAGUCAUUCGCCAAAUCCCGAAGCUCAACUUCGGAACCGCGAAUGAUACUUCAAAACUAGAGGCCGGGAGAGGCAAGUGGAACUACCGGUGUAGCGGUAAAAUGCGUUAAUAUCGGUAGGAACACCAAAAGCGAAGGCAGCUUGCUAGAACGGUCCUGACGCUCAGGGACGAAAGCGUGGGGAGCGAAUAGGAUUAGAUACCCUAGUAGUCCACGCCCUAAACGAUGAGUGNUAGGCAUUGGAAGUAUCGACCCUUUCAGUGCCGUUAAGGUAACCCGUUAAGCACUCCGCSUGGGGAGUACGGCCGCAAGGCUAAAACUCAAAGGAAUAGACGGGGACCUGCACAAGCGGUGGAACAUGUGGUUUAAUUCGACGAUAAGCGAGGAACCUUACCAGGGCUUGACAUGGCACUGCAAGCGCACAGAAAUGUGUGACCUUCGAGGGUGUGCCACAGGUGCUGCAUGGUUGUCGUCAGCUCGUGUCGUGAGAUGUA